UCAAGAAACUGAGGACAGGAGAGACGAAAAGGAUGGUCUGUCUCCAACAGCGAUAGAUAGAGAAUCAAGAGAGCCGGCACCCACCCUGGGUUCUUCCAUCAACUCAGGGUCACCAGGGCAAACCUUUUAUGCCAAAUCCUUCGAUUUCCUCACGUGCAAAGCAAGGGGAUUGAACUUGACCCCCACAGUUACUUCUAAUGCUUGCUGUUUUAAGAACACUCAAUUCUAUCAAAUAUGAAAUGCAGUAGAGUCCUCCUUAAAAGUGAGCUUUCUGGUUUGGGUUAUUGAUUUUACAGUUCUGACUCUCAGGAUUUCUCUUCGUGUCUCCGCACACCCUGAAUGCCACCUGUUUGCCUUGCUCACUAUCUGCUGAAUGACUGCUUCUUGGUGUCUUGCCUUUCUUUCUGUUAGCCCUUGCAGCCCUAAGGUUCUGGACUUGACCCUUCCCUAACAAAUGUCCCUACCUUCCAGUGUUACCUGCUCUGGGCAUACGGCCAGAAGGACCUUCACUGGGCAGCAGAGAACAUAGGACAUAAAGCAGCUCACAGGCAUCUGAGUCUGGCCCCAAAAGCCACUCCCAGAGGAUGCUUUGCACAGCAAUAUCACUGCUGAUAAUACUUCCCCAGAGGUCACAGGAAGUUACACAGCCAGAUGCAAGGACUGUCCAGCCUCGCUCCUCCCUCUGCCUCUUGGGACGCAAACAGUGGUAAAAGGAUUGGAAGCCAGAGUCUGGGACCCUUCUCCUGUUCCCAUCUGGCCAGCAGAUGGCAAUACCUAUGCCCUGUGGCUCCUGCCCAACCCUUUUCCGUCCUGAUGGAGGGGAAGGUGACAAGAAUAGGCUCAAAGGAUGACUCAGCUCCAGUGACUAAGGGCCCAUUGAUGGCUAUGAAAAGGAAUGUCCAGUGCAGCUGCGGGUCCACUUGAGCCCCCCAAGCAAGCGCUCUCAAGCCCGCUGUCUUUGAGCCCAGUGUUUUCAGAGCCUGUUGCUGCAGCGAUGUCUGGAAUCCUCAACACCUGCACGUCAGCUUCCUGGGCAUUUCCACUCCCCUCCCUCGGCCCCCACCCUCCUCUUCUAUUUGCAUCUGAAAUGCAGCUGCUGGGGCCCUAUAGAGGGGAGCCAAAUGGACAGGAAUCUCCUUGUUUGCUCUCCCUCCCCUGAGUCAAACAGAAUCUGAAGCUCCUCUGUGCGAGGUCUUUUGUUGCCUCCUCAUUAUGUUUAAAUGAGCCUCAUCUGCAGGAGAAUUUUUUUUUUAAUAAAAUAAAAUAAAACCACCA
rnacentral:lncRNA from 1 species